UGGGGAAUAUUGCGCAAUGGGCGAAAGCCUGACGCAGCGACGCCGCGUGAGGGAUGAAGGUUUUCGGAUCGUAAACCUCUGUCAGAAGGGAAGAAACCGCACUGUGCUAAUCAGCAGUGCCUUGACGGUACCUUCAAAGGAAGCACCGGCUAACUCCGUGCCAGCAGCCGCGGUAAUACGGAGGGUGCAAGCGUUAAUCGGAAUUACUGGCGUAAAGCGCACGUAGGCUGCUUUGUAAGUCAGGGGUGAAAUCCCACGGCUCAACCGUGGAACUGCCUUUGAUACUGCUUAGCUUGAAUCCGGGAGAGGGUGGCGGAAUUCCAGGUGUAGGAGUGAAAUCCGUAGAUAUCUGGAGGAACAUCAGUGGCGAAGGCGGCCACCUGGACCGGUAUUGACGCUGAGGUGCGAAAGCGUGGGGAGCAAACAGG
rnacentral:rRNA from 1 species